rnacentral:rRNA from 1 species
GAUGAACGCUGGCGGCGUGCCUAAUACAUGCCAGUCGAGCGAACAGAUGAGGAGCUUGCUCCUCUGACGUUAGCGGCGGACGGGUGAGUAACACGUGGAUAACCUACCUAUAAGACUGGGAUAACUUCGGGAAACCGGAGCUAAUACCGGAUAAUAUAUUGAACCGCAUGGUUCAAUAGUGAAAGACGGUUUUGCUGUCACUUAUAGAUGGAUCCGCGCCGCAUUAGCUAGUUGGUAAGGUAACGGCUUACCAAGGCAACGAUGCGUAGCCGACCUGAGAGGGUGAUCGGCCACACUGGAACUGAGACACGGUCCAGACUCCUACGGGAGGCAGCAGUAGGGAAUCUUCCGCAAUGGGCGAAAGCCUGACGGAGCAACGCCGCGUGAGUGAUGAAGGUCUUCGGAUCGUAAAACUCUGUUAUUAGGGAAGAACAAAUGUGUAAGUAACUAUGCACGUCCUGACGGUACCUAAUCAGAAAGCCACGGCUAACUACGUG